UACGUAGGGGGCAAGCGUUGUCCGGAUUUAUUGGGCGUAAAGAGCGUGUAGGCGGCCAAGCAGGUCAGCUGUGAAAACUCGAGGCUCAACCUCGAGACGUCGGUUGAAACCGUUUGGCUAGAGUCCGGAAGAGGAGAGUGGAAUUCCCGGUGUAGCGGUGAGAUGCGCAGAUAUCGGGAAGAACACCCGUGGCGAAGGCGGCUCUCUGGGACGGUACUGACGCUGAGACGCGAAAGCGUGGGGAGCGAACAGG
rnacentral:rRNA from 1 species